CUCUAAGAUGAGUCCGCGUAAGAUUAGCUAGUUGGUGAGGUAAUGGCUCACCAAGGCGACGAUCUUUAACUGGUCUGAGAGGAUGAUCAGUCACACUGGAACUGAGACACGGUCCAGACUCCUACGGGAGGCAGCAGUAGGGAAUAUUGCACAAUGGAGGAAACUCUGAUGCAGCGACGCCGCGUGAGUGAUGAAGGCCUUCGGGUCGUAAAGCUCUGUCGCAGGGGAAUAACACAAUGAAUGUACCCUGUAAGAAAGGAUCGGCUAACUUCGUGCCAGCAGCCGCGGUAAGACGAGGGAUCCUAGCGUUGUUCGGAAUUAUUGGGCGUAAAGCGGAUGUAGGUGGCUUUGUAAGUCAGAUGUGAAAGCCCAGGGCUCAACCCUGGAAGUGCAUUUGAUACUGCGAAGCUUGAGUGUCGGAGAGGUUACUAGAAUUGU
rnacentral:rRNA from 1 species